GUGAGGAAUAUUGCGCAAUGGAGGCAACUCUGACGCAGCCAUGCCGCGUGCAGGAAGAAGGCGCUACGCGUUGUAAACUGCUUUUAACCGGGAAGAAACCCCAGGACGUGUCCUGGGUUGACGGUACCGGAGGAAUAAGCACCGGCUAACUUCGUGCCAGCAGCCGCGGUAAUACGAAGGGUGCAAGCGUUAUCCGGAUGCAUUGGGUUUAAAGGGUGCGUAGGCGGAGCGUUAAGUCAGUGGUGAAAUCCUGCAGCUUAACUGUAGACUUGCCAUUGAUACUGGCGCUCUUGAGUGCGCUUGAAGUGGGCGGAAUGUGCCGUGUAGCGGUGAAAUGCUUAGAUAUGGCACAGAACACCAAUUGCGAAGGCAGCUCACUAAGGCGAUACUGACGCUGAGGCACGAAAGCGUGGGGAUCGAACAGGAUUAGAUACCCUAGUAGUCC
rnacentral:rRNA from 1 species